GACGUAGGGGACGAGCGUUGCUCGGAUUUAUUGGGCGUAAAGCGCGCGUAGGCGGCUCGGACAGUCGGAUGUGAAAAUCCGGGGCUCAACCCCGGACCUGCAUCCGAUACUUCCGGGCUAGAGGUAGGUAGGGGAGAUCGGAAUUCCUGGUGUAGCGGUGAAAUGCGCAGAUAAUCAGGAGGAACACCGGUGGCGAAGGCGGAUCUCGUGGGCCUUACCUGACGCUGGAGGCGCGAAAGCUAGGGGAGCGAACAGGA
rnacentral:rRNA from 1 species